rnacentral:rRNA from 1 species
GGACCCGCACAAGCGGUGGAGCAUGUGGUUUAAUUCGAUGCAACGCGAAAAACCUUACCUACUCUUGACAUACUUGGGAGCUCUUGUAAUGAGAGUGUGCCUUUUGGAACCAAGAUACAGGUGCUGCAUGGCUGUCGUCAGCUCGUGUCGUGAGAUGUUCCGUUAAGUCGGAUAACGAGCGCAACCCUUACCCUUAUUUGCCAGCGAUUCGGUCGGGAACUAUAAGGGGACUGCCGGUGAUAAACCGGAGGAAGGUGAGGACGACGUCAAGUCAUCAUGGCCCUUACGAGUAGGGCUACACACGUGCUACAAUGGGGAAUACAGACGGACGCUAAGCCGCGAGGUGGUG